rnacentral:lncRNA from 1 species
CAGAAACUAGUAAUUCUUUCAAAUGCAUUGGUUGCUUAAAUUGAAUAGGAAACAAAUACAUUGUCACAAACUAUUGUUACAAUGAUACUAGUUUUUAGCUAAUUUUUUUAAAAAAAUAUUCAGAUGGCCCCCAAUUUACAAGACUUCAACUUGUGAAUUCUUAACUUUGUGUGGGUCUGAAAACGAUAUGCAUCCAGUAGAAACGGUGUUUCAAAAUUUGAAUUUUGAUUCAAAAUAUUUCAUAUUGACUUUAUCAUAAAAUAGGCUCUGUGAUAGGUGAUUUUGCCUGAGGUCUAAUGGAGAUGUUCUGAGCAGGGUGGGCUCGGCCUGCUGAGGUUUGGAGUUGGUCUGUGAGGUGUGUCAGAACAGCAGACUUAAGGUAUGAUGGGAGUCUGAGGCUGAAACCCCACUGUAAGCUUAGAACACCUACAUAAGGCUUUUACACCAUGCAAAAACAUCAAGUGCAGGUGAGCAGUGUUCUAAUGAUGCUGGUUUUCACAGUCGCCCAUGCGUUGGCCUUUCUGAGAUCUCUGUGCCUGCACACGGCUCUGCGUGGCUGGCUGGGCCCUUCAUUUGUACCUGCAGCUCCAUGGACACACCUGGUCAGGUAGGUCUAGUGGACUCUACUCCCUCAGCCUCUGUCUACCUGGGUGGACCUUAACUCGGCCCGUGGUUUUGAAGGACAGUUUCCCUGGAGGGCGAUUCUUGGUUGACACGAGCUUCUUCGAACACUAUUGACCUUCUGGCCUCUUCAGCUCUGGUGAGAGACACUUGGAUAGUCCCACCAAGGGCCCCUGGUAGGUGGAGGGUCCCUUUCCUCUGCUGGGCUCAAGAUGCUCUGUUUUCCUU